AGUGAACGCUGGCGGUAGGCCUAACACAUGCGAGUCGAACGGCAGCACAGUAAUAGCUUGCUCUUACGGGUGGCGAGUGGCGGACGGGUGAGGAAUACAUCGGAAUCUACUUUUUCGUGGGGGAUAACGUAGGGAAACUUACGCUAAUACCGCAUACGACCUACGGGUGAAAGCAGGGGAUCUUCGGACCUUGCGCGAUUGAAUGAGCCGAUGUCGGAUUAGCUAGUUGGCGGGGUCAAGGCCCACCAAGGCGACGAUCCGUAGCUGGUCUGAGAGGAUGAUCAGCCACACUGGAACGGGGACACGGUCCAGAGGCCUACGGGAGGGAGCAGUGGGGAAUAUUGGACAAUGGGCGCAAGCAUGAUCCAGCCAUACCGCGUGGGUGAAGAAGGCGUUGGGGUUGUAAAGCCCUUUUGUUGGGAAAGAAAAGCAGCAGGUUAAUACCCCGCUGUUCUGACGGUACCCAAAGAAUAAGCACCGGCUAACUUCGUG
rnacentral:rRNA from 1 species